AACAAAUGUUCCACAAAAACAAUUGAGACUUGAACUUUAGCUGUCAAUUGCUUUUUCCUUCCCACUUGGCAGCUGUCAGUCAUAUACCAUAAAUUACAAGGAGACCAUUUUCCCACUUGAUUCCCUUCCCUUUCAGUUAUGUUCUUUACAACUUCUGUUAUCACGUCUCUAUGAAACCUUUGCACAAGUUCUUGGAUGAAAAUUUUUACGUUCUUUGUUGACACCAUCAUAUAUUAUUACUUAAUCAGUGAUAUCGUAAAGAUCGCAGAAUUUUUUGAUUUUUUUUUAUAUGCUUCCCUCUCAAUUUGGUGUUAUUCUGAAUAUAAGGCACACCGGAUGGUGGUGGUCCAAUUGGAAUUUCAAAUUACACAGGAGCUCCCCAGUGAAGAAUGGGUGGAGCUGAAGGUGGAAGCCAGCCAUCUUUUAUCACAAGCACGACUGUAGAAGUUGUUGUUCCUUGAUCGCUUGUUACUUCUAUCUAUGGAGAGGAUGGAGGCUGUUUAAAACAGAUACAUGAGAUUGCUGGUGCUAAAAUUACCAUCACUGAAACUGCACCUGGGGCAACUGAGACUGUCAUUAUAAUAUCGAGAACACCUUAACAGACCCAUGCUUCAUAGAGCCUGCUUCAAGCAUUUGUAAUGAGCGGGACAGCCUCCCCCUAAUUUGCCGUAGUGGACAAGAAUUAUGGAGCUGCAUCCAGGAGGGAUCAAUAGCAUCCCAAAUAAAGCACGCAUAGAAAUCGGUGGGAAGUGCCUUGUUCCUGUGGGUCUAGGAGAUGAUGAUCAAUGCAUUGAGGGAGCUUCACACGCCAUCUCCGCAAAGCUAUAAUUUAAAGUGCUAGCCUUUACUGUAGCUUAUUUUGUAAAUUUGAUUUUGCAAUGAAACAUCUUCAAGCACAUUAUUUUCU